CUGGCUCAGGACGAACGCUGGCGGCGUGCCUAACACAUGCAAGUCGAGCGGGGACAUUGCGACGGAGACGAAGUACUCGUACGGAGUCAAAGAUGUAAUGUUCUAGCGGCGGACGGGUGAGUAACGCGUGAGCAACCUGUCCCUUACAGGGGGAUAACACAGCGAAAGUUGUACUAAUACCGCAUAAGACCACAGAGUGACAUCGCUCAGGGGUCAAAGGAGCAAUCCGGUAAGGGGUGGGCUCGCGUCCGAUUAGAUAGUUGGUGAGGUAACGGCCCACCAAGUCGACGAUCGGUAGCCGACCUGAGAGGGUGAUCGGCCACAUUGGGACUGAGACACGGCCCAAACUCCUACGGGAGGCAGCAGUGGGGAAUAUUGGGCAAUGGGGGAAACCCUGACCCAGCAACGCCGCGUGAGGGAAGAAGGUUUUCGGAUCGUAAACCUCUGUCCCAGGUGAAGAGGAAGAGACGGUAGCCUGGGAGGAAGCCCCGGCUAACUACGUGCCAGCAGCGGC
rnacentral:rRNA from 1 species